GACGAACGCUGGCGGCGUGCUUAACACAUGCCAGUCGAACGAAGAGCGAUGGAAGCUUGCUUCUAUCAAUCUUAGUGGCGAACGGGUGAGUAACGCGUAAUCAACCUGCCCUUCAGAGGGGGACAACAGUUGGAAACGACUGCUAAUACCGCAUACGAUCUAAUCUCGGCAUCGAGGAUAGAUGAAAGGUGGCCUCUACAUGUAAGCUAUCACUGAAGGAGGGGAUUGCGUCUGAUUAGCUAGUUGGAGGGGUAACGGCCCACCAAGGCGAUGAUCAGUAGCCGGUCUGAGAGGAUGAACGGCCACAUUGGGACUGAGACACGGCCCAGACUCCUACGGGAGGCAGCAGUGGGGAAUCUUCCGCAAUGGACGAAAGUCUGACGGAGCAACGCCGCGUGAGUGAUGACGGCCUUCGGGUUGCAAAGCUCUGUUAAUCGGGACGAAAGGCCUUCUUGCGAAUAGGGAGAAGGAUUGACGGUACCGGAAGAGAAAGCCACGGCUAACUACGUG
rnacentral:rRNA from 1 species